GGCAAAGAUGAGGAUUGCUUUACGUUCUGACACCUCUUGUAUGAGAAGAGCUUUUCGGCUCUUCUUUGAGCACUGAUAGCAACUCUCUGAGCC